AGGCAAAUCCCCAAAAGCCGUCCCAGUUCGGAUUGCAGGCUGCAACCCGCCUGCAUGAAGUUGGAAUCGCUAGUAAUCGCGGAUCAGCAUGCCGCGGUGAAUACGUUCCCGGGCCUUGUACACACCGCCCGUCACACCAUGAGAGUCGGGAACACCCGAAGUCCGUAGCCUAACCGCAAGGGGGGCGCGGCCGAAGGUGGGUUCGAUAAUUGGGGUGAAGUCGUAACAAGGUAAC
rnacentral:rRNA from 1 species